GACGGAGGGUGCAAGCGUUGUUCGGAUUGACUGGGCGUAAAGGGCGUGUAGGCGGUUCGUUAAGUCGGGUGUGAAAGCCCGGGGCUCAGCUCCGGAAGUGCGCCCGAAACUGGCGAGCUGGAGCGCGGUAGAGGAGGGUGGAAUUCCUGGUGUAGCGGUGAAAUGCGUAGAUAUCAGGAGGAACACCGGCGGCGAAGGCGGCCCUCUGGACCGUUGCUGACGCUGAGACGCGAAAGCGUGGGGAG
rnacentral:rRNA from 1 species